UGGCUCAGGACGAACGCUGGCGGCGUGCCUAAUACAUGCAAGUCGAACGAACUCUGGUAUUGAUUGGUGCUUGCAUCAUGAUUUACAUUUGAGUGAGUGGCGAACUGGUGAGUAACACGUGGGAAACCUGCCCAGAAGCGGGGGAUAACACCUGGAAACAGAUGCUAAUACCGCAUAACAACUUGGACCGCAUGGUCCGAGUUUGAAAGAUGGCUUCGGCUAUCACUUUUGGAUGGUCCCGCGGCGUAUUAGCUAGAUGGUGAGGUAACGGCUCACCAUGGCAAUGAUACGUAGCCGACCUGAGAGGGUAAUCGGCCACAUUGGGACUGAGACACGGCCCAAACUCCUACGGGAGGCAGCAGUAGGGAAUCUUCCACAAUGGACGAAAGUCUGAUGGAGCAACGCCGCGUGAGUGAAGAAGGGUUUCGGCUCGUAAAACUCUGUUGUUAAAGAAGAACAUAUCUGAGAGUAACUGUUCAGGUAUUGACGGUAUUUAACCAGAAAGCCACGGCUAACUACGUGCCAGCAGCCGCGGUAAUACGUAGGUGGCAAGCGUUGUCCGGAUUUAUUGGGCGUAAAGCGAGCGCAGGCGGUUUUUUAAGUCUGAUGUGAAAGCCUUCGGCUCAACCGAAGAAGUGCAUCGGAAACUGGGAAACUUGAGUGCAGAAGAGGACAGUGGAACUCCAUGUGUAGCGGUGAAAUGCGUAGAUAUAUGGAAGAACACCAGUGGCGAAGGCGGCUGUCUGGUCUGUAACUGACGCUGAGGCUCGAAAGUAUGGGUAGCAAACAGGAUUAGAUACCCUGGUAGUCCAUACCGUAAACGAUGAAUGCUAAGUGUUGGAGGGUUUCCGCCCUUCAGUGCUGCAGCUAACGCAUUAAGCAUUCCGCCUGGGGAGUACGGCCGCAAGGCUGAAACUCAAAGGAAUUGACGGGGGCCCGCACAAGCGGUGGAGCAUGUGGUUUAAUUCGAAGCUACGCGAAGAACCUUACCAGGUCUUGACAUACUAUGCAAAUCUAAGAGAUUAGACGUUCCCUUCGGGGACAUGGAUACAGGUGGUGCAUGGUUGUCGUCAGCUCGUGUCGUGAGAUGUUGGGUUAAGUCCCGCAACGAGCGCAACCCUUAUUAUCAGUUGCCAGCAUUAAGUUGGGCACUCUGGUGAGACUGCCGGUGACAAACCGGAGGAAGGUGGGGAUGACGUCAAAUCAUCAUGCCCCUUAUGACCUGGGCUACACACGUGCUACAAUGGAUGGUACAACGAGUUGCGAACUCGCGAGAGUAAGCUAAUCUCUUAAAGCCAUUCUCAGUUCGGAUUGUAGGCUGCAACUCGCCUACAUGAAGUCGGAAUCGCUAGUAAUCGCGGA
rnacentral:rRNA from 2 species